rnacentral:misc_RNA from 1 species
UUGAGCACCGGAGAGGCUUUGUGGGUACAGAUCGGCGCUCGCAAGAGAGUUCGCGUGCGCAGGGAUGAACCUUGGCUAGGCGCGCACACAAGGGAGCUCCGCGGCGAGCGCAGGGGCGAGCUAGGGAGCAGGAGCAGAGGGUGGGCGAGCUGCAAGGGAGGAGCACGCCAUGGACGCGGCCAUGGAGACGCCCGCAUAGAGGACCUCGGCUGGGGUCAUGGCGAGGCCAUGGCGAGCAAGGAUCUGGGCACGGUGCACAUGGAGACCAGAGAGAAGCGACCGAGCGCUAGGGAGGAAGAGGAGGAGCGCGCAGGAGAUAAACAUCGCGAGCAGGGAAAGAGAUAG